rnacentral:rRNA from 1 species
UACGUAGGGUGCAAGCGUUACUCGGAAUUACUGGGCGUAAAGCGUGCGCAGGCGGUUUUGUAAGCCAGAUGUGAAAGCCCCGGGCUUAACCUGGGAAUGGCAUUUGGGACUGCAAGGCUUGAGUGCGGCAGAGGAGACUGGAAUUCCUGGUGUAGCAGUGAAAUGCGUAGAUAUCAGGAGGAAUACCGAUGGCGAAGGCAGCCUUCUGGCCUAAUACUGACGCUGAGGUGCGAAAGCAUGGGGAGCAAACAGG